rnacentral:rRNA from 1 species
CCUACGGGUGGCAGCAGUGGGGAAUAUUGCACAAUGGGGGAAACCCUGAUGCAGCAACGCCGCGUGAGUGAAGAAGUAUUUCGGUAUGUAAAGCUCUAUCAGCAGGGAAGAAGAUGACGGUACCUGACCAAGAAGCCCCGGCUAACUACGUACCAGCAGCCGCGGUAAUACGUAGGGGGCAAGCGUUAUCCGGAUUUACUGGGUGUUAAGGGGGCGCAGACGGCAGUGCAAGUCCGGAGUGAAACCCCGGGGCCCAACCCCGGAACUGCUGUGGAAACUGGGCGGCUAGAGUACUGGAGGGGCAGGCGGAAGGCGCAGUGUAGCGGGGAAAUGCGUAGAUAUUAGGAGGAACACCAGUGGCGAAGGCGGCAUGCUGGACAGUAACUGACGUUGAGGCUCGAAAGCGUGGGGAGCAAACAGGAUUAGAUACCCGAGUAGUC